GACAGAGGUGCCAAGCUGUUAGGCGGAAUCACUGGGCUUAAAGCGUGUGUAGGUGGAUGCCUAAGUGCCUUGUGAAAUCCCACGGCUCAACCGUGGAAUUGCUGGGCAUACUGGGUGUCUUGAGCCAUCCAGGGGUCGCUGGAACAAACGGUGGAGCGGUGAAAUGCGUAGAUAUCGUUUGGAACGCCAAUGGUGAAAACAGGCGACUGGGGAUGAGCUGACACUGAGACACGAAAGCCAGGGGAGCAAACGGG
rnacentral:rRNA from 1 species